CCGGCACGGGUGAGUAACACGUAUCCAACCUGCCGUCUACUCUUGGACAGCCUUCUGAAAGGAAGAUUAAUACAAGAUGGCAUCAUGAGUUCACAUGUUCACAUGAUUAAAGGUAUUCCGGUAGACGAUGGGGAUGCGUUCCAUUAGAUAGUAGGCGGGGUAACGGCCCACCUAGUCUUCGAUGGAUAGGGGUUCUGAGAGGAAGGUCCCCCACAUUGGAACUGAGACACGGCCAA
rnacentral:rRNA from 1 species